rnacentral:rRNA from 1 species
GACGAACGCUGGCGGCGUGCCUAAUACAUGCAAGUCGAACGGUCUUUUCUAUGGAAGCUUGCUUCCACUGAGAAGAUAGUGGCGGACGGGUGAGUAACACGUGGGUAACCUGCCCAUAAGAGGGGGAUAACAUCCGGAAACGGGUGCUAAUACCGCAUAGUUUUCUUGAUCGCAUGAUCGAGAAAGGAAAGACGGCCUUUGUGCUGUCGCUUAUGGAUGGACCCGCGGCGUAUUAGUUAGUUGGUGAGGUAAUGGCUCACCAAGACGAUGAUACGUAGCCGACCUGAGAGGGUGAUCGGCCACAUUGGGACUGAGACACGGCCCAAACUCCUACGGGAGGCAGCAGUAGGGAAUCUUCCGCAAUGGACGAAAGUCUGACGGAGCAACGCCGCGUGAGUGAAGAAGGUUUUCGGAUCGUAAAACUCUGU